UACAUGCAAGUCGAGCGGAACCAUUGGAGCUUGCUCCUUUGGUUUAGCGGCGGACGGGUGAGUAACACGUGGGCAACCUGCCCUGCAGAUCGGGAUAACUCCGGGAAACCGGUGCUAAUACCGAAUAGUUUGCGGCCUCUCAUGAGGCUGCACGGAAAGACGGUUUCGGCUGUCACUGCAGGAUGGGCCCGCGGCGCAUUAGCUAGUUGGUGGGGUAACGGCCUACCAAGGCGACGAUGCGUAGCCGACCUGAGAGGGUGAUCGGCCACACUGGGACUGAGACACGGCCCAGACUCCUACGGGAGGCAGCAGUAGGGAAUCUUCCGCAAUGGACGAAAGUCUGACGGAGCAACGCCGCGUGAGUGAAGAAGGUUUUCGGAUCGUAAAACUCUGUUGUGAGGGAAGAACAAGUAUCAACUAACUAUUGGUACCUUGACGGUACCUCACCAGAAAGCCACGGCUAACUACGUGCCAGCAGCCGCGGUAAUAC
rnacentral:rRNA from 1 species